UCGGCGACAGCGAAGGAUUGUGUGGCUGCAGCCGCGCUCCCAGCCUGUGGGCAGCCGCACCACCGCCCUUAAGUGCCUGUCUCCGGCAAGGCAUUUAGCUAGAAGGGGCUUCAGUUCCCCACUUCAAGCCACCACUUUCAAAUCCCUCGAAAAAUCAACCACAGCAACCACUUGAAAAAAAAUAACUCCGAUAAAGUAAAUUUCCUUCCUUUCGAUUUAUGUCUGUGGAUAGAAGGCCAACGCUGUCAGAGCACACGCCCUGUGCCGGUCACAUAAGCUGCUGCAGGAGGCUCCUGUGUCGGGGGUCCCCAUUCUUCACCCUCCGCAGAUGCAUCCCCUUCUCCACGUGGAGACUCCUCGGUUCCUUCCAUUGAAGAGACAGCGCUGCCUCUCUGGACCCUUGACUCUGAGUCAGGCCAUGUGACUUGUUCUGGUCAAUGGGAUGCCUGCUGAUGUGACACCUGAGGAGGCUCAGGACAGACUUGUGUUUUUCUGUGCCACUGCUGUGAGCGUGUGCCUGGGCUCUGGCUGAGGGAUGAGGUGUGAGGUGAAUCAUCCCAGAUGGGGCCAUCCUGGACCAUCCAACAGCAGCUUCUCUGGACAGGUAAGAGACCCCAGUGAGAGGAGAGCAUUGCUGAGCCAGAGUGUGGACGUGCAGGCCUGUGAGCUCAUUGUUUCGGGCCAGG